rnacentral:rRNA from 1 species
CGGGGUGAGUAACGCGUGGGUAACCUGCCUCAUACAGGGGGAUAACGGUUAGAAAUGACUGCUAAUACCGCAUAAGCGCACAAAACCGCAUGGUUUGGUGUGAAAAACUGAGGUGGUAUGAGAUGGACCUGCGUCUGAUUAGCUAGUUGGAGAGGUAACGGCUCACCAAGGCAACGAUCAGUAGCCGACCUGAGAGGGUGACCGGCCACAUUGGGACUGAGACACGGCCCAAACUCCUACGGAAGGCAGCAG